rnacentral:lncRNA from 1 species
GAAAUCCACCAUUCGGUGACGGUCUAGCCUGUACUCAGCGGAGCCCCACACUCCAUCCCACAGGUACUUGGGCCCCUCAGGGAAAUACACCUGUUUCAGACCAGCAGCCCGUGGGGACAGGUUCACCUGUGUUCCUCACACCACCACUUCAGUCCUAAGGAGCCUCCCUGGGGGAGCUUGAGGGACUCUUUCUGGAGCCAUGAGGGGGGUCCACCAGAGGAGGGUCCCCUGGGUGUUUCUGAGCUGCUUAUGUUCCUGCCUCCUUUGGCCAGAGGUCCUGGGUGGAAACACUAUGACAACUACUAUUACUGAGGAGAAAUUCCCAUCGAAUAUCAGCUACAUAACUCCCACAAAAGGAAACCUGUCAAAAGAAGUAACAUCAACAAACAAAACACAAAGAAAAAAAAGGGAAACUUCAAAUUCUGGUACUUACAUAUCAACUAUGGUUAGUNGUCGGAUUCGUUAAGCACUGCGCCACGAUGGGAACUCCAAAAUACUGUUUUUUUUGUUUGGUUUGUUUAUUUGUUUUUGUUUUUGUUUUUUUCCUUUUCUAGGGCCGCUCCCUCGGCAUAUGGAGUUUCCCAGGUUAGAAGUCAAAUUGGAGCUGCAGCUGCCGGCCUACGCCAGAGCCACAGCAACAUGGGAUCUGAGCCACAUCUACGACCUACACCACAGCUCACGGCAACGCCGGAUCCUUAACCCACUGAGCGAGGCCAGGGAUCGAACCCACAACCUCAUGGUUCCUAGUCAGGUUCAUUAACCACUGUGCCACAGUGGGAACUCCAAAAUUGUGUUCUUAAUGCUCCAACUUCACAGAAGGAACCUGUCUUGUCAACGAGUCCUUGUAUCUUAUAUUUAACGGCACUAUUGAAACAUAUGCAUCAUCAUAUCUUUAAUCCUCUACAGGUGGAAACACUAUGACAACUACUAUUACUGAGGAGAAAUACCCAUCGAAUAUCAGCUACAUAACUCCCACAAAAGAAAACCUCUCAAAAGAAGUAACAUCAACAAACAAAACUGAAAGAAAAAAGAGGGAAACUUCAAAUUCUGGUACUUACAAAUCAACUAUGGUGAGUUCAUCAGUCUCAACGACAACAGGACCAGGGCCCCAGUCAA